ACGACUAAACGCCUGUGAAGAGACGACUCAACGGCAGUGGAUACUGUAUGGAACAUAGUGGACAUGAUGAAGAGCCCAGACAGACCUGUGCCAUACAUCCAUGCAGAGAUGGUCUCCCACUGGUCAUCAGAGAGGAAGUACAACACUGAGCUGGCCAUGAUACUGGGAAUGAUCCAGAACUGAACAGAAGACAAAAUCAUGAAUGGCUGUGACCACUGACUGACUUACACUGGGUGUGCUGAUGCUAUUCAAAUCAACACUUUUUGACUCUGGUAAAUUAACACCACAAAAACACUCUAAAUGACACAUUUAGCUGUGGACAAAAUGAAGAACAUUUUAAGGAAAAGUUUGCAUAUGCAUUAUAUGUUUUGUAUUAUAUUUGAUAAAUCAG